AGCACUCGGAAAAAUUAGUAGAAAACAAUGAAAUACAUAGGACUAAUAGAGGAUGCCAUCCCACUGUAACUUAGCAUCCUUCCAUUUUCAUUUUAUCGGAACUGUUUUAGAACACAUACAAAAAGAACAAAUAACACACACAAUACACACUGAAUCUGCUAUUUAUCUUACGUAACUCAGAUGUAAUUGAAAAUACUUCACUCCAGCAUUUCACAUAGCAUUUCAUAGAGAAACAAAACAAAAAUUUAACUUCAGGUAGAGUUGACAAGAAAAUUAUAAGCCCCAAAUGAGAUUUUGUGUGUGUGUUUUGUCUUGUUUUGCUUCUUUGGAACAUAAAUUUGGAUAGGGGAAGGUUGUGUUGAAGAAAGGGAUCCGGAAAAGGCAACAAAUGACUUAUAAAAUAAUUAUUGGCAUCUGCUGGUCCUCUACAAUGGGUUAAAAAGUUGAAAUGAGUAUUUUUGUUCCCUAAGCUAAUUGAGACUGCACUUUAAAAGUCACACUUUGUAUAAUGAAGAAUGAGGUCAAGUUGUGCUAUGUCUGGGUGACAUACAGCACAAUGGAAUGUCUAGACUGUAGGGUCUUUAGGUCUCCAUGGAACUUUGGAAGCUUCAUUUAACACGAAUAAUUUCUAUGUACUUUUUGCAUUAGGAACAGAUGUAUUUUUGCAUUUCCAAGUGAUCUCUGUCCUCAAAUAGCAAUUUUUUUCAUCCUUCUGAAUAUGCUUUUGCCCUCUCUCCUCAUGUGUUUCUUGCACUAUGAACUUUUUCUGCCAACAUGAUGUGUUUUAAAAGUAAAUAAUUUAUGGGGAUUUAGGAAGGAGGAAGAAUGGAGGGUUAACUGCUUACAAAAACCUGUGCUCUUGAGGUUUAUUAUCUGUGAACCUUUUAGAUAGAAUUAUAGCGUUAUAUUCACUGAAUGAAUGACCUAAAAAAUCAGGUGAAUAAUAAAGGCUUUUUCUUCAGAUUUGUAACUAUAAAAGUAAAUUAAAUUAUACACAAAAAAUAAAGGAGAAAUACAAAUUUAGUCAGAUGUGCUCACUAAACAUCAAAACAUACCCUAACUAGGCCACUUCAGAUUAACUUAAGAAAAUUUAUAUUUGUCAUAACUCUAUGGGCUUUUAGUUUCCAAGGCCAGCAUAUUCUUGAAACUGUUAUUUUAUCCCCCUAGCUACUAAGACUACAUGCAGGGUAUCUUGUAUUUUGAACCUCUAGAUUUCCCAUAAGCUUGACCUGCAUCAAAGAUUAUAGCAUGAUUCUUUCUUUACGGGUUUUUUUAAUAAAAGCAAUUAUUAGUAAAUUAAACAUUAAAGAACACUAUGGGUCAGAUUACAUACAUUGGAGUAAGAUUAAAUAAAUGCCCAGCUAAAUUAAAAUUAAUAAAAAUAAAAUUGGCAAGCUGUUCUUGAAAAUCCACUAUGUCCUUAUGUAAUUGCCAUUUGGUGUGUCUGAUUAUUGUUGUAUCAUCUGGUUUUAGUACAGUGUGUAAUUUAUCAUGUAUUUAAUUAUGAUGUACUGAGUUUCUACUAUGUGACAUACACUGUACUAGGAAUUAGGAAAGCAAAGAUUAUGAAGUCAUGUAUCAAAACUUUAAAGUGCUCAAAGCAUCAACUCAAAAAAAGUUGAAUCGAUUGAGGAGGCAGAGCAAGAUGGCAGAGGAGUAAGAGGUCAUGUUCAUCUUCUCCCACAAACACAUCAAAAAAACAUAUCUACAUGUAAAACGACUCACACAGGACAUCAACUGAAUGCUGGCAGAAGAACUCCAAAAAGCGCAAGAAACUCUUGACAUAACUGGGUAGAACAAAAGAAAAAAAGAGAGAGAGAGAGAGAAAAGGAACCAGAAUGGGAGGAGCAUUCCUGAGAGGGAGCAGUGAAGGAGAAAAGGGAACCCACAUCCUGGGAAGCCACCUAACUGAUGGAAAAAUCAGCCGAGUCGGCAGGACCUCAAAGUCGCCAAGAAAAGCACAGCAGCUGGACAGAGGAGGGCAAAGCAGAGUGAGAGCUGCACAGAUCACCUGAACCACCAGCCUGGACACCACUGCCUGAGACACUCGGGCAGGGGCUGUGCACUGAGACACAGGCUCCAAAAGUCAAUCCCUGGGAGAGGACUGGGGCUGGCUGUGUGGGAACAGCCUGAGGGGCUAAGGAGAAGUGUGCCACUGGCGGGAGAGUGGUAAACCAUGGGCUGAGGAAGGGAAUGCCAUGGCAGAGGGAACCUGGGAGAAGGUCCAGGCCCACAGGAGAGACAAGAUGCCAUUGUUGGGGAGGGUGAGAGGAUGAGGGACCGAUGCCAUAGGAAACUCCCUGCACAGAGAGUGCACAUGCCCGCGGGCUCUCAGAGGGCAGGGCGGCUCUGGCACAGGCUACGGGCAGCAAGAAGCCUCUUGCUCAUUUAGGGGAGACUGGGCACUCCUUGUGCAGGUUACAGGUGGUCAGGCACCUCUUGUGUGGGCUAAGGGCAUCAGGGGGCUAAGUGCAACGUGGUGCCUCUUACAUGACCUACAGGUGGCAGGGACAGACUGUGAAGGUCCUCUCAGAGGCCAGAAGGAGGCAUGCCUUGCCACCACUGGGGGCCUGUGAGUGGGUUCCACCUGUGAUCCCAGUCACCUCAGGGGUUGGCAAAAAAGAAAAGAAGAGGGCACUGCAACCAAACACCAUAUGCUGUUGCUCUUACUCCCCUGGGAACACACCCACCCUGCAGUGGCCAAAUGCUCUAGGUGGCACUCAGAUACUUGGUCACUGUCACUUCCAAGGACCUACAAUGAGAAGCAGCUGGUGCAGCACCUCCUGCAUGGGCUAAGAGCGACAGGGUGCUUCUUGCAUGGUCUGCACGCAGUGGGGGCAAGCUGCCGCAGUUAUCCCUGAUUCCAGAGGUGGGCAUGGCCCACCACCACUGGAGAUACCUGAACAAAAAUCAUUUGCAGCCCCACCCACCUCAGAGGGCACACAGAGAAGGACAUUGCAAUGGAACACCACCUGUUGUUGCUCUUGCUCCCUGAGAGCACACCCACCCUGCUGCUGCCACUGCCAAACAUGCUGGGCAGUGCCCAGAUGCUUGAUCACUGUCCCUUCCCAGGAAUCUGCAACUAGGAGCUGCUUGUGCAGCACUUCCUGUGGGGGUUAAGCAGGACAAGGUGCUUCUGGCAUGGUCUACAGGAGGUGGGGGCAAACCACCGCAGUUAUCUCUGGCUCCAGAGGUGGGAGUGGCUCCCCACCUCUAGGGGUCUGUGAACAGACACCACUUGCAGCCCCAUUCACCUCAAGGGCACCACAGAGGAGGGCAUUGUGCGUGAACAUCACCUGUUGGUACACUCACACCCCUGGGAACACACCGACCCUGUUGCUGCCACUGCCAAAUGCUCUGGGCAGUACCCACAUGCCUGAUCUCUGUCACUUCCCAGGAUCCUGCAACUAGGAGCAGCCUAUACAGCACUUCCUAUCUGGGCUAAGUGAGAUGGGUUGCUUCAUGCAUGGUCCACAGGCGGCAGGGGCAAACCACUGCAGUUAUCACUGACUCCAGAGAUGGACAUGGCCUGCUCCCAAUAGGGGUCCCUGAACAUGCACAACCUACUGUUCCAAUCACCUCAGAGGAGGGCAUUGCAAUCAAACACAAGCUGUUGUUGCUCUAACUCCCCUGGGAACUCACGCACUCUGAUGCUGCUUCUGCCAAAUGCUCCAGUCACCUUGAAGAUUGUCCUCGAGCUUAUUACCACUUCCCAGGGCCCUGCAACUAGGAGCAGCCUGUGACACCUUCUUGCAGGUCCUUGCUGCUGUUGAGAGCCCAAUGACCAGGCACUGACUGCUGGCCCUACCCAUUGCAUCCUUCUCUCUGAAAACACACUGAGCAUCCUGGGAAUAACAGCCUGCUCACACUGAAGAAACAGACAGCAAAUAUUCAAACUUCCACACUGAAAAUAAAUAGUAACCCCCCCAAAAGAAAUACAAAGGGAUAUUCUUGCAUAGAAGUAGCCUUACAAGACUACAGUUGGGCUUCCCCAAACUCACAGAAAAAGAAAAACACAAGUAAGAUGAAGAAGCUCAGAAACCAUUGCCAGUUAAAGCAAUAGGAAAAUUCACCUAAAGCAGUCAACAAUGAACAGACCUCUGCAGGCUGACAUUGAGUUCAAAAGGGAGAUAGGGAAAAUACUGAAGGAAUUAAGAGAGUAUAGGAACAGUAAUGCAGAUUUCCUCAGAAAGGAACUAGAAAAUAUAAGGAGGAGCCAAGAAAAAUUAAAAAUUCAUUUGUGGAGAUACAAACUGAACUAAAGGCAAUAAAGACCAGAAUGAAUACUGCAGAGGAACAAAUUAGUGACAUGGAAGAUAGAAUAAUGGAAAUCACCCGAACAGGACAGCAGAAAGAAAACCAAAUGAAGAAACAUGAAAGCAAUAUAAGAGACCUAUGGGAUAAUAUAAAGUGGGAUAAUCUAUGCAUAAUAGGAAUUCCAGAAGGAAAAGAAAAAGAAAAGGGGAUUGAAAAUAUAUUUGAAGAAAUUAUGGCUGAAAACUUUCCAAAUCUAAAGGAUACUGAGUUCAAGAUACAGGAAGCACAGAGGGCCCCCCAAAAAAGUUGAACCCAAACAGGCCCACACCAAGAUAUAUUGUAAUAAAGAUGACAAAAGUUAAAGAGAAGAUUCUGAAGGCAGCAUGAGAAAAGCAAAUCAUUAAUUAUAAAGGAACCCCCAUAAGCCUAUCAGCUGAUUUCUCUACAGAAACAUUACAGGCCAGAAGGGAGUGGCAAGAUAUAUUUAAAGUGCUGAAAUGAAAAUACUUGCAACCUAGAAUACUCUAUCCAGCAAGAAUAUCACUUAAAAUAGAAGGGGAAAGAAAGAAUUCCUCCAACAAACCAAAGCUAAAAGAGUACAGCAAUACAAAACCCAUUCUAAAAGAAAUACUGAAAGGGCU
rnacentral:lncRNA from 1 species